CAAAUAUUUCCACUUUGGCCUGAUUUCCUCCGUGGCCAACUUUAAGCCCUCGACCGAACAUCAAUCGGCUGCAAAUUCUUCAAUGGACACUCAGCUUUACAGGCAGGAGGACUGGAGGACUCCAGGUCACAGAAGAGGACAGCUGAAGGAGAUCACAUGGGUUAGAAUGAAGCCAACCCUUACCUCACCCCUUAGGACCACCCAGACGUGGUGGUGCGCAUGUGUAAUUCCAGCGGUGGGAAGAUGGAGCUCCCCGGUCAGCCUGGAGCUUAUUCAGUGAGUUCCAAGGUAGUGAGAGACAAAGGCUCUCGAAGAAUGGCAGCUGAGGAUGUCCUCCACCCUCUAAAUGCAUGAGCACACAUGUACACAUAUGUACACACAGAAACUAAUGAAGGAGCUGUAAUGAUGUCCCCAUCCACUACAAUGGAAUCACACCAUAAGCUCAGGCUGUGGAAGGAUGGAUGUCCUCUUCAGACUUCUACUGCUGUGAUAAACACCAUGACCAAAAUAAAGUUGGGGAGGAGAGCGUUUUCUUGCCUCACAGAUUAUGGUCUAUCAUCAGGGUAAGUCAGGCCAGGAGCCCCGGGGCAGGAACUGAGGCAGAAGCCACAGAACACUGCUUCCUGAUUGGCUCUCCAUGGCAGGCUCAGCUUGUUUAUUUACACAACCCAGGACUACAUUCUGGGACUGGCACCACCCACAGUAGGUGAAAGUCUGCCUACUUCAAUCACCCAUCAAGGAAAUGCCUGUAGACUUGUCUAGAGGCCAGUCUUAUAGAAGUGUUUUUUCUAUUGAAGUUCCUUCUUUGCACAGGAAUCUAGAUUAUGUCAAGUUGAGGAAACAAACAAAGAACCCACCCCAGCCAAAACACAACAAAAUAACCAGCACAUAGUGAGGACCACAUUGGCCUAGAAACUUGUGCAUGGUGUGAGCACCAUUUGGGGUGCAUUAGGGGAUGCGUUUCUUCCAUCAUUCCUAAGAAGACACAUUUUUAUUUAAAUAACACCAGUAUAAUGGAACAGUCCGAAGGGCAUGAUCUAAGCAAUGAAAUUUGUGGAAUCUAACUCAUAGCUCUCUCAGUUUUACAAUAGUGUAAAGAUAAAAA